UACGUAGGGUGCAAGCGUUUGUCCGGAAUUAUUGGGCGUAAAGAGCUCGUAGGCGGUCUGUCACGUCGGCUGUGAAAACCUGGGGCUCAACUCCGGGCCUGCAGCCGAUACGGGCAGACUAGAGUUCGGCAGGGGAGACUGGAAUUCCUGGUGUAGCGGUGAAAUGCGCAGAUAUCAGGAGGAACACCGGUGGCGAAGGCGGGUCUCUGGGCCGAAACUGACGCUGAGGAGCGAAAGCGUGGGGAGCAAACAGG
rnacentral:rRNA from 1 species